rnacentral:misc_RNA from 1 species
UAAGUGCGAUAAGUAAUGUGAAUUGCAGAAUUCCGCGAAUCAUCGAAUCUUUGAACGCAAAUUGCACUCCUUGGUAUUCCUGGGAGUAUACUUGCUUGAGGGUCAGUCAGUAAAAUCGUGAUAUUUUUUUAUCGCGGAUUUGAGCAAUAAUCCGAUUAUAUAUUAUUCGGUUGCUUUAAAUUUAAAAUAACAUGGUAUAAUGUUUUAAGAUGUACUAUUUAAAAGAUGGAUCAUUGAUGACUUUAUACCGAAUAUUAUGUGAAUUCUUUUUUUAAAGAGGUAACAUAUAUAUUUUUAGAAGUUUGACCUCAAGUCAAGUAAGAGUACCCGCUGAACUUAA